rnacentral:lncRNA from 1 species
UCUCUCCCCAUACUUUCUCUCACCAAGUCAGCAGACAACUUUGUGCUAGGUUUGCUUGCUAAAUCUGACUGAACCUUGGGUUUUCUUGCAGGCUGGAAACUGCAUGCGAUUGUGCUCAAUACUGUGGAGAAUGCCUCAAACAGAUCACACAUGACUUAACACAGAUAAAAGCAUGAGAUCCACAAUGCUGUAGCCUCUUCUGCUUCUGGACCCUGCACCAGAGGCAGAUGGCUGGGCUGAUCUGUGUGUGGACAGGCAGAGGCAUUCAGCUCCUGUUGCCACAGAGGAAAGGUGGAUGGAGCACUUACUUACGAUAGCUGGGGAUUCACCUUGCAGUGCAAUAAUGAUCUCUGAUGCCAAGAUCUUCUAUGGCUUUCCUGCUCCAGAAAAUGCUGUAUACUAGUGAAGCCACCUUGGAUUUCUCACACUGCAGAGCCCACAGAUAGCCCCUCUCAGGCUUGACAGAAUUCAUUCAUCACCUUGCCAGACUCCCUCCUCUUACUUGAGUCCCAUUUUGAGGCUUG